AUGGCUCCGGGCUCCACGGCGCGGCAGGUGUGGGACUCCAUCGCCAACCUCUUCCACGACAACAAGAAAAGCCGCGCCCUCGCCCUCGACGCCGAGUUCCGCAACACACCGCAAGGAGACAUGUCCAUCCAUGACUACUGCGCGAAGCUCAAGUCUCUCUCCGACGCUCUCGGCGAUGUCGGCAUAACCAUCUCUGAUGAGACGCUCGUCCUAACGGUGCUCCGCGGCCUCAACGAGCAAUUCAGCCACCUGCGGUCCUUCCUUCCGUUUCAGGUGCCGUUUCCAUCUUUCCUCCAGACGCGCUCGGCCCUCGUUCUUGAAGAAGCACAGAAGAAGACGGAUGCAAAGAACGCUGCUGCUACUGCGCUCUGGGCCAGCGGCAACAGUAUAUUGCCAAGCGCGGGCGGCGAACGCGCUCCAUUGUCCGGGGGCGGACACAGCUACGGUGCUCAGCGUCCUGUCGGUCCCUCUUCCAGCUCGUCCAACAGCGGCGGCCGCGGCACCUUCAGUAACAAUCGCAGCCGCGGCCGCGGCGGCCGAGGACGGGGCCGCUCCGAGCCCUGGAUGUACAAUCCUUGGACUGGCCUUCCAACGCGUGCACAGCUUUAUCAACACCCUGCUCCAGCGCCGUGGCAAUCACAGCCAUGGCGUGCUCCUGGCGUCCUUGGUCCACGACCUGCGGCUGCUUCCCAGCAGGCGUACGCAGCAUACGGCCCAGCUCCGACAACUCCCACCUACAACGGGCAUCAGCAACAACUCGACCCAGCACUUCUGAACGCACUCAACAACAUGCAUCUUCCCGGAAACCAGGAGUGGUACAUGGACACAGGAGCUUCCUCCCACAUGGCAUCUAAUCACGGUACUAUCUCCUCUCUAAAGCCUUCCACUCAAACUGUCACAGUAGGUAAUGGACAAACCGUUCCUGCUACUCAUGUUGGUCAAUCUACACUUCCAUCUUCAGCCCAAUCCCUCUCUCUUCGUAAUAUUCUUGUCGUUCCUCACAUUAUUAAAAAUCUUAUCUCUGUUCGCCAACUCACUACUGACAAUUUUUGUUCCGUUGAAUUUGAUCCUUUCGGAUUCUCGGUGAAGGCGUUUCCUUCCAGGGCCGUGAUCCUUCGCUGCAAUAGUCCCGGGCCCCUGUAUCCUGUCUACCGUCCCCGACAAGAUGAAGCUCUCAUCACAACCACUUCGUCAUCACUCUGGCAUCGCCGCCUCGGCCAUCCUGGUCGUCACACCAUGUAA
rnacentral:rRNA from 1 species